UACGAAGGGGGCUAGCGUUGCUCGGAAUCACUGGGCGUAAAGCGCACGUAGGCGGAUUGCUAAGUCAGGGGUGAAAUCCUGGAGCUCAACUCCAGAACUGCCUUUGAUACUGGCGACCUUGAGUCCGGGAGAGGUGAGUGGAAUUCCCAGUGUAGCGGUGAAAUGCGUAGAUAUUAGGAAGAACACCAGUGGCGAAGGCGGCUCACUGGCCCGGUACUGACGCUCAUGUGCGAAAGCGUGGGGAGCAAACAGG
rnacentral:rRNA from 1 species